rnacentral:rRNA from 1 species
CCUACGGGUGGCAGCAGUGAGGAAUAUUGGUCAAUGGGAGAGAUCCUGAACCAGCCAAGCCGCGUGAGGGAAGACGGCCCUAUGGGUUGUAAACCUCUUUUGUCGGAGAACAAAACCCGGGACGUGUCCCGGACUGCGUGUAUCCGAAGAAAAAGCAUCGGCUAACUCCGUGCCAGCAGCCGCGGUAAUACGGAGGUGGCAAGCGUUGUCCGGAUUUACUGGGUGUAAAGGGCGUGUAGCCGGGCCGGCAAGUCAGAUGUGAAAUCCCAAGGCUCAACCUUGGAACUGCAUUUGAAACUGUUGGUCUUGAGUAUCGGAGAGGCAGGCGGAAUUCCUAGUGUAGCGGUGAAAUGCGUAGAUAUUAGGAGGAACACCAGUGGCGAAGGCGGCCUGCUGGACGACAACUGACGGUGAGGCGCGAAAGCGUGGGGAGCAAACAGGAUUAGAUACCCCAGUAGUC